rnacentral:rRNA from 1 species
GACGAACGCUGGCGGCGUGCUUAACACAUGCAAGUCGAACGGAAAGGCCCUGCUGUUGUGGGGUGCUCGAGUGGCGAACGGGUGAGUAACACGUGAGUAACCUGCCCUUGACUUUGGGAUAACUUCAGGAAACUGGGGCUAAUACCGGAUAGGAGCUCCUGCUGCAUGGUGGGGGUUGGAAAGUUUCGGCGGGUGGGGAUGGACUCGCGGCUUAUCAGCUUGUUGGUGGGGUAGUGGCUUACCAAGGCUUUGACGGGUAGCCGGCAUGGGAGGGUGACCGGCCACAUUGGGACUGAGAUACGGCGCAGACUCCUACGGGGGGCAGCAGUGGGGAAUAUUGCACAAUGGGCGGAAGCCUGAUGCAGCAGCGCCGCGUGCGGGAUGACGGCCUUCGGGUUGUAAACCGCUUUCGCCUGUGACGAAGCGUGAGUGACGGUAAUGGGUAAAGAAGCACCGGCUAACUACGUG